rnacentral:rRNA from 1 species
UGGGGAAUAUUGGACAAUGGGCGCAAGCCUGAUCCAGCCAUGCCGCGUGAGUGAUGAAGGCCCUAGGGUUGUAAAGCUCUUUCGGCGGGAACGAUAAUGACGGUACCCGCAGAAGAAGCCCCGGCCAACUUCGUGCCAGCAGCCGCGGUAAUACGAAGGGGGCUAGCGUUGCUCGGAAUCACUGGGCGUAAAGCGCACGUAGGCGGGUCGCUGAGUCGGGGGUGAAAUCCUGGAGCUUAACUCCAGAACUGCCUUCGAUACUGGCGGCCUUAGAGUCCGGGAGAGGUGGGUGGAACUCCGAGUGUAGAGGUGAAAUUCGUAGAUAUUCGGAAGAACACCAGUGGCGAAGGCGGCUCACUGGCCCGGUACUGACGCUGAGGUGCGAAAGCGUGGGGAGCAAACAGG